GAUGAAGAACGUAGCGAAAUGCGAUAAGUAAUGCGAAUUGCAGAAUUCAGUGAGUCAUCGAAUCUUUGAACGCACAUUGCGCCCUGUGGUAUACCGCAGGGCAUGCCUGUUCGAGCGUCAUUUCAACCCUCAAGCUCUGCUUGGUGUUGGGCCCUGCCCGCUGCGGCCGGCCCUAAAGACAGUGGCGGUGCCGCCUGGCCCUGAGCGUAGUACAUCUCUCGCUCCAGUGCCCGGUGGUAGCCUGCCAGAACCCCAACUCUCGUGGUUGACCUCGGAUCAGGUAGGGAUACCCGCUGAACUUAAGCAUAUCAAUAAGCGGAGGA
rnacentral:misc_RNA from 1 species